GCAGCUGACAGACAGUUGAAAAUAAAGAGACAGUUAGUGCAGUUGGUUCUUGUGUGAGGGGAGGUAGAAGAGUUAGAGACAGGAUAAAAAUAAGACUAAGAAGUUUAAGGUGAUCAAGUGAGACAUGGUGACAUCUGAUCUGUAUGCUUAAACCUGGAUCGCUCCCAAUCAUAAAGUCUAGAGGAUGAGUUCUGGUUUCUUGGAGUGCUGCAGGAUGUCCCUGUUUUCAUCGGAGAAAUGUUGGAGGGUAUGG